GGGCCCGCACAAGCGGUGGAGCAUGUGGAUUAAUUCGAAGCAACGCGAAGAACCUUACCUAGCCUUGACAUCCUUGGAACCUGCCCCAAAAGGCGGGGUGCCCCUCGGGGAAUCAAGUGACAGGUGCUGCAUGGCUGUCGUCAGCUCGUGUCGUGAGAUGUUGGGUUAAGUCCCGCAACGAGCGCAACCCUUGUCUUUAGUUGCCAGCAUUUAGUUGGGCACUCUAGAGAGACUGCCGGUGUCAAGCCGGAGGAAGGUGGGGACGACGUCAAGUCAUCAUGGCCCUUACGGCUAGGGCUUCACACGUGCUACAAUGGACGGUACAAAGGGUAGCGAAGCCGCGAGGUGGAGCCAAUCCCAAAAAGCCGCUCUCAGUUCGGAUUGGAGUCUGCAACUCGACUCCAUGAAGUCGGAAUCGCUAGUAAUCG
rnacentral:rRNA from 1 species